rnacentral:ncRNA from 1 species
UCUUAUAAUUUAUUAAUAAAUAAUAACAUAAUUUUCAUAAAUUUUUAUGGAUCGUUGAGGUCCGUGUUGUAUUUUUAGCUCUGAAAUAGUUCUACAUGUAAGUUUAAGCUUAAAAUUUGUGAUUAAAUAAAUUUUAAAAAGUGAACCUCAGUAGUAAAUAUUAGAAAUAUAAAAAUUUUCUAUCUAGGGAAUUUCUAAGAAGUGGAAAAUGGCGUGCCAGCAGCCGCGGUUAUACUCCUGCUUCAAGUUAAAAAUUAUAUACGAAACUUUGUUUAUAAAAAAGUCCAGGAGUUUUCUAAAAUUAUUAGGUAGAAUUUUAUUUUUAGACAAUGACGAUAAUUUAUAAACUUAAAAACUAUAGUAGGGACCAGGAUUAGAUACCCUGUUACUUAUAAAAAAUAUGUUUUGGACUAGUAGUAAAAAUGAAAUUUAACGGAUUUGGCGGCAAGAUAGCCAUUUAGAGGAACCUGCCCUAUAAACGAUGAACCACGAAUACCUUACUUUUUUUUGAGAUCAGUUUGUAUACCGCUGUUGGCAGUUAGUUUCAUUAGAAAACUUUCAUUAAUAAUAUAAUUAUUGACUUCAAGUAAAGGUGCAGCAAAUAAGAAAGACAGAGGUGGGUUACAUUUAAUUGAAUAAAACGGAUAAAGUUAUGAAAUUACUUUUGAAGGUGGAUUUAAUAGUAAAGUUUAAUAAAACUUGAUGGGAGCUCUGUCUUGUGUACACACCGCCCGUCGCUCUCUUUUUUAAACGAGAUAAGUCGUAACAAGGUAAGUGUAAUGGAAAUUGUACUUAG